GGCCCAACUACAGUUCACUACCUGCUUUUCUGUCAUCCCAUCACAUUAUAGUCAUCAUAAAUUAUAUAUACAAAUGUAUAUAUACACACACACACACACACACACACAAAGCAUGGUUCAGUGUCUCAUAGGAUGCACUCUCAAACACGGUUCAUUCCUCUCAUCCCAUCCAUGGCUGUUUCUGUUAUCAUGUGUAUGCCUAAGGAUAAGCCAUUGAUAGUCACAUUGCUUUUCUUUUCUUGUCUAAGAUAAUUAUGAAUAUAUAAUUUCUUCAAAUUUUCCUCAUUUGACCCAUAUUUCACUCUUACGUGGCCUCAAAGCAUCGUCUCUAGGUAUGGGCUUUACUGAACCAUUUGUGUUACAGUAGGGAAAAUAACCUUGGUGAGAUUAUCAAUUCAGCUAAAGGCAGACAAACACAUUUGAGAGUUUCUCUGAUAUCUUGAACAAUUUGGAGUGGAAAUUUAUUAAAUGGAAGAAUACACAAAUUGGAUAAAACGUAUAACAAAGGUGUGAGAAUAUAAAAGGAAUCAUUUUAGUGCCAAUCUGUCUGGUGGCAGCAGUUCAAAAACUGUUUGACUUUGUGUCUGGACGUUGAUUAACCAGUUCCGCCACUUUGGUAUCAUCCGCUGAUUGAGCAGUCAGGUUUUCCUCAAACGUGGAUCUGCAGUCUUGUAGUUGGACAAUCUGAUCAGCAGUGGACCGAUCACACAGCCCUGAGGGACCCCAGUGUUCAGUAUUAUUAUUACUAUUAUUAGAGAUUAUUAGAGAAUCCAGCUGGGUCAUUUAAAUGAUUUGUUUUUCCUUAAGGAAACCUAGAUAUUUGACUAAGCGUUGUUGCUUUAGUGUUUCAUGUCUGCAUUAUGGGUGCACAAAUAAAUCGGCUCUGAUUUCCUUAAUUUUGGGAGUUCUGCAAAGAUCUGAAAACCAGCCACCAAGUCACAUCUAUAUGCGCAUUGUUAGCAGUAGUCACCCCACGGAUGCCAACUUAUCGAUUUCGUUGCUAUAUUUAGCAAUUUUUCUGACAAAAACCCCCCAAAAAACUAUUUGAAUUGUUGAGGCUCUUUUCAACCCCUUAACUGGCUGUACCAAAAUCACCAAAAACGGCUGAAAAGGUAUGCCCAAAUUAAAUCAUCUGCUGUUCUUGAACAAUUUGGACUACAUGCAAAAGCUUGGUCUCUUUAUGAAGAAGACAAGCUACAUUUUUUAUUUGUCCAGUCAAAUAUACUCUAACUGUAAGUAGUUUGUAGUUAUUACGUUUGUAACACAAACAUUUUUUUUAAAAUUCUGCUUCACCCAGAUUUUUCAUUUUUAUUUCUUGUAAAUGCACAUUGAGUGUUGAUUGUAUGGACUGGAAAAUACAAUAAAUCUGUAGAAUAAAGUAUUCUGCUUGUGGAUUUCAAGACUGAUCAGAAUAGCACAAAAAAGAAAUGUCAUUUUGGACAUGUUUAUUUUUGAGAAUGUACAGGUGUUGUCCAAGUGCACACUUGGACAACACUUGAUAUACAAACUUCAAAUGACUGUAACUCCUCAGUGCCUCUGCCCCCCAUUCUCGCUCUUUGGUACGCUCUACCUCCCUCGCUCUGACUGUAGCAGCAGACGACUAAAGGUUUCCGGUAUUCUCAGAUCCAAAACUUGUCAGCACUCUUACGGCCAUAAUCGUCCACUCCCGUGAGUUGUGAAGUUUUGCUUUACAUUCACUUUUGACACGUUCUGACAACGUGUCUCUCCGUUGGUGAGAAAAAGUCCUGUAAACACCGUUACGCACGAGGGCGCACAGAGCCCGACUUUGACGCAGCAAAGGCGCACACAUUACCCGUGGUCACGCAUGCAGCUGGUGGAUUCAUCUCAAAACAAACCCUAAAAUGCCUUAUAUCCUUAUGACAGGACACGUGUUGGCUACACAUCUGUGGCUUUAGAUUUAGUCUCCGAGUUGAGCAGUCAGAAAUAUUCCAAAAACAAUACAGGUAUGUCAAAACGGGCUCAAGUCGCUCUCUGGAUAUUAUUGGCUCGGGAAAAGUCAUUUCAUAACAUUAUUGGUGGAAUGCGGUGUCAAUCAAAAGGGGCUCUAGGCUGCCCAAUAAAAACGUCAUAAUGGACACCGGCAGAGUUUAAAGAGGAGAAAAUCAGACAACCUUGAUUUGUCCUAUGGAUGGGAUGCCGCCAGUUAAGGGGUUAACUAACCAGUUAAGGGAUCGGCCUGAGAACUGCAAUCAGUACAUUCCAGUCAGUACAUAUACUAGGUUUCAAUCAGUUUAAUGUUAUUGUAGUUGAACUUUUUUUUUGUACCACUUAUGAGACAGUAAGUAACCAAAAUAGCAGUUUCAUUUCGGGAAUGUUGAGGGAGAAAAAAAAAGUAACUACCAGAGGAGAGAACAUCCCUGUUGACCCCGAAGGUCGGCUCCUGUUCCAAGCCGAGUCGUUUGUGGGCGAUCUGUUGUUGUCGGAGUGUUGAGGAAAGUGACGGUUUCUCCGCAGCGCAGAGUUUUAAUCGGAUAUCACAGCAGUAAAGGGUGGAAAGGCUGAGUUCUGCGUGUGUGUGUGUGCAGAAGUAGUGUUGCAGCUCUGCAUGCAAGCUGAUGGUUGUGCUGUGGGGCAUCAGUGAAUACGAACAGUCAGUCCUCACUGCAUGGAUGUUUGUGGUGAAAGUGGUUGGGAGGCAAUUGUGCAUGCCUGACCCUGCGGACGCGGUCCAGCCCAAAGCAUUCCAAACUCCUGGACGGGACGCAUUCAAUUAAAUUUGACCGAGUGUUUUGGUACGCUGCACCUCUUGCUAUUGUCCCAUUUUGGCAGAUGAGCUCCGUCUGAAUCUGACCAGUCAAAAUUUUUGCUCCUGCAUGACUUUUUUUUUUUUCUCCCUCCUGGAAUGAUAAAUGACUGAAGUGUGAACUUAUUUUUGUGUUCUUUGUACAUGUGUAAAAUUGUAGAAAAGUUUGAAAAGAGUGCAACCUUUGUCCUUUUUACCCUCUCUCUUUUUUUUUCUGUUUUCACUCAUUUGUCUUUCACAUAAACCUCUGUGAUCUCCUUGCCAGUCAUGUUCGUCUGUUUUAUUUUUAUUUUAUCUGACAUUAACAUGUAGCUUUUUAAAUUUAUUUCCUCCUCUUCCAUAUUUUAUUUUUAGCUUGUUUUUUUUUUUUUAACUAUUGACUGCCUUCAUGGUGACUGGUAAAAGACUGUAAAUUUAGCCCAGUGUCCCAACACACACUUUCCCCUUUAUGCCGUAACUUCACCGCUAGAAUGAGAAUCGUUUCCUCAUCUAACUAAAAGUGCUCUCGCUUAAAACGGAUCGCAACAAACUCAUUUUGCUGUUCUUGUUUUGUGGUGGACAAUAUUUGUUUUAAUCAGCUGCAAAUUUACAACACCUUGCAAAAGAUAUUCACACCUUGUGAACCACUUAAAUGCAUAUUGUGGGGGGGGAUUUAGUCGAUACACCAGCAACAAGUAGUGCACAAUUGUGAAGUGGAA